CGACACUCAAGUGGGACGCUCAGCGUUCACGCCCAAGCGUUUGGCAGUUCUAUUUCUGAAAAGGCCAGCGCUCAGCGUUGGAUUUGACGCUCAGCGGCGUGCGCAGCUCUAACUUUUCCCCUCAGCGUUGGCGCUUAAGCGUCUCGCAAUGGCUCUCUUCACAAAGCUGGCGCUCAGCGCUAAAACUGGCACUGAGCAGUGGGCGCGAUUCUUCCUUUGCAC
rnacentral:lncRNA from 1 species